rnacentral:rRNA from 1 species
AUUGAACGCUGGCGGCAUGCUUUACACAUGCAAGUCGAACGGUAACAGGCCGCAAGGUGCUGACGAGUGGCGAACGGGUGAGUAAUGCAUCGGAACGUGCCCAGUCGUGGGGGAUAACGCAGCGAAAGCUGCGCUAAUACCGCAUACGAUCCAUGGAUGAAAGCGGGGGACCGUAAGGCCUCGCGCGAUUGGAGAGGCCGAUGUCAGAUUAGGUAGUUGGUGGGGUAAAGGCUCACCAAGCCAACGAUCUGUAGCUGGUCUGAGAGGACGACCAGGCACACUGGGACUGAGACACGGCCCAGACUCCUGCGCGAGGCAGCAGUGGGGAAUUUUGGACAAUGGGCGCAAGCCUGAUCCCGCAAUGCCGCGUGCAGGAAGAAGGCCUUCGGGUUGUAAACUGCUUUUGUACGGAACGAAACGGUCCCGGUUAAUACCUGGGGCUAAUGACGGUACCGUAAGAAUAAGCACCGGCUAACUACGUGCCAGCCGCCGCAGUAACAC